UGGGAAUCAAGAAAUGCAACUGAUCAUGUGUUUUAAAGUUCCAGAACAUCCCAUGACAGUCAAGAAGCACCCCCCAGCAUCUGAUGGAAGGCUGCUUUGCUUGGAGCCCGCAGAGGCCAAACGAGGGCCCUGAGCAUGUCCAGCAUCCAGACGGCUCUGAGGCAGUGCUGCUCAGCAGGAGUUGUCUCAGUUCCAGCCCCAAUACUGCGGCUAUGGUGGUGGCGGUGAUGCAUCCUCCUCAUUUCCACAUUUCAUGGUCCUUGCCUCCAAAUCUAUCCUGUUCGACCCUGGUUCUCAUUAUUUUUCAGAUCUUAAUCAUAUGUGUCCCUGAGAGGCAGAUUCUAACACUAGAGCUGGUAGAACAUGAUGCUCUUCAGUCUUGGCAUUUUAACUUUCUUUAAGCCUCCUGGAGCCAAGGAAGGUAGUGGUGGUAUGAUCUGAUCACACCUGUCCUUGCCCUGCUCAAUACUUGGUAACCAUUAUCGUCUCCUAGUUCCAGAACCUGUUUGCACCACGUUCAAGACCAAAGUAGGGAGUAGGGAUCAGACAGACAAUGCAAUGCAAUCCAACAUUUAAAGACUCUUAGCACCUGCUUCCCUUGCUAGGUCCUGGCUAUACAGAGAGGCUGAACAAGACAUAGGCCUUGUCCUCAGGGAGCAAAUGCUUCGAUUGGAUGACCCACUGUAUCCCUGAACUGACAAAAAUGAAACUGCUGCAGAAAAACCCAGUGCUGCAAAGUGCUAACCUCAUCAGGCACGUUGCCUCUGCAGUGCAAUCCAUAAUCUCUGUGACUUCCAGAAGCAGAAUUGUUCUACGACUUUCUAAAUUAAGCUUUGCAUCACUUUAGAAACUAACAAAGCAUUCCUUCCCACAGACGCUGUUCCCAAAUUAAACAUUUUGUGCUUGUACAGCUGUUCAAAUGUUGGUGAAUUGGAGAUGGAAAGGUUCUUAGGAAGGGAAGAGAGGAAAAUAAACCCAGGAUUUUUAGAUGCUCCACAUGGACACAAGCAAGUGUCACAGAGCCAAGUACCUAGCAGGGCUGUUGCGUUGCCAGGAAGAGGGAAAGCGAAGGAAGAAUGUGAAAACACAGCACUGAUUCCCAUGGUGGCAGCAGCAAAAUCCUCCUCAACAUGAUUUUCCAGGCACAAGAUGGGCUCAAAGGUACAAAGAGACAUGGCCUCAGUGAUCUCCCGCCCCAGGAGCCCAAUUUGAGGAAACUGAGGCAUAGAGAGGUUUAAGUAACUCACCUGAGGACACAGCUUGUAAGUGACUGGGCUGAGAUUUGAGUCCAGAAGCUACACACUCAGCCACUGCUCUUCACAGCUUCUCUCAUUUUGCCUAGAGGAGUUGAUUCCUCGGAAAGGAGCUCUAUGCACAAAGAAGCCAGCUCAACCCGAUGGAGUAAAAACAUUAAAAACCCUGGAGGCUUCACGUUGAAGAUGGUUAUGUCACAGGAUGGAAUGAACCUGUAUCUAUGAUUCAGAGAAGAGGUGCUCAGAAGAGCCACUCAACCAAGAAAACCCACGUUGAACUUUGCAUGAGUGCAAUGGAGUAAACACAUUCCAGACUGAAUGAAACUAAAAAAAACCCCUCGAUAGAAAGAUAGAGAGCUUUUCAAGGACCCUGAAAAUUAAAUAGUAGCUAUUGAUUGGAGAAGAGGACUAGAAUUUGAACUACCAUCAAACUGGUGGUGAGUUUAUCAUUUUUUUCCUUCAAUAUACCAGGUGGAACUCCAAGCAACAUAAAACCUGAAUAUGGG
rnacentral:lncRNA from 1 species